AUUUUGAGAGAAUUUCAUAAGAUUUGCACAGAAUGGAAUGAGGUUUACCGGAUGGAUAUAUCUACUACAUACUGUUGAUGCUUGCUGGUUGGCUAAUAUGGGUAUAUCAUUUAAUAUCAUUUUUAACAUAUAUACUAGAUCUAGUAUAUCCCAAAUUGAGUUAAAAGAAGAAAGUCUGAACGAUCUUGAAAUGAGAAUACCAAAGAGCAUCUACUUAAAAUUUCAAAGCUCUAUUUAAUUCUUUUCUCUUAUAGUAUAUAAAGUAUGGCCUUUGCCACGCCUUUAACGAAUAUACAGGGGGCUAACGAUGGUUUCAAUAUCUAAUCUGUCCUCAUCAAGAGCGUGCCACACCCAUAGCCAAGGGACUAUGCAAAACCAAUAUACUCUCUUCAUAUUCUCACUUUCUGACAUUACAUAAAAAAAAAAAAAUC